UACGUAGGUGGCAAGCGUUGUCCGGAUUUACUGGGCGUAAAGAGCGCGUAGGCGGUCCGAUAAGUCGGCUGUGAAAGUCAGGGGCUCAACCCUUGAAAGCCGGCCGAUACUGUCGGACUAGAGUCCGGAAGAGGCAAGUGGAAUUCCCGGUGUAGCGGUGAAAUGCGCAGAUAUCAGGAGGAACACCGGUGGCGAAGGCGGGUCUCUGGGCCGAUACUGACGCUGAGGAGCGAAAGCGUGGGGAGCGAACAGG
rnacentral:rRNA from 1 species